rnacentral:misc_RNA from 1 species
CGACAAGAAAGUAAAAGGCGUACUUGAUUACUUCCCGAACCAUGGUGUCCGGGUCAUUGGCGUGGGAGCCGAAUGAGUUGACUAGAUCAGCAAAGAAGCGGAGGAAUACUGGUAGGGAGCAGCCGUGGACGAGAGCUCCUGCUGUGCCGACGGCCAUUAAAACAUAAUCUAGGCCGUCGGCAAAGCGGAAGAGCUGGCAUAUGCCGGCGGCAGGGACGGGUUUUCCGUCCCUGUCGCUGCUUUCCUUACCGAUGGGAGGUUUUUCCAUCGGUAAGGUGGAAUUGGG